CAUCUGCCUUGGAGUGGGAAUAACGGCUGGAACAGCCGCUAAUACCGCAUGACGCGUCUGGAGGCAUCUCUCUGGACGCCAAAGAUUUAUCGCUCUGAGAUGAGCUCGCGUCUGAUUAGCUGGUUGGCGGGGUAACGGCCCACCAAGGCGACGAUCAGUAGCCGGACUGAGAGGUUGGCCGGCCACAUUGGGACUGAGACACGGCCCAGACUCCUACGGGAGGCAGCAG
rnacentral:rRNA from 1 species